UUAGAGUUUGAUCCUGGCUCAGAUUGAACGCUGGCGGCAGGCCUAACACAUGCAAGUCGAACGGUAGCACAGAGAGCUUGCUCUCGGGUGACGAGUGGCGGACGGGUGAGUAAUGUCUGGGAAACUGCCCGAUGGAGGGGGAUAACUACUGGAAACGGUAGCUAAUACCGCAUAAUGUCGCAAGACCAAAGAGGGGGACCUUCGGGCCUCUUGCCAUCGGAUGUGCCCAGAUGGGAUUAGCUUGUUGGUGAGGUAAUGGCUCACCAAGGCGACGAUCCCUAGCUGGUCUGAGAGGAUGACCAGCCACACUGGAACUGAGACACGGUCCAGACUCCUACGGGAGGCAGCAGUGGGGAAUAUUGCACAAUGGGCGCAAGCCUGAUGCAGCCAUGCCGCGUGUGUGAAGAAGGCCUUCGGGUUGUAAAGCACUUUCAGCGGGGAGGAAGGCGGUGAGGUUAAUAACCUCACCGAUUGACGUUACCCGCAGAAGAAGCACCGGCUAACUCCGUGCCAGCAGCCGCGGUAAUACGGAGGGUGCAAGCGUUAAUCGGAAUUACUGGGCGUAAAGCGCACGCAGGCGGUCUGUCAAGUCGGAUGUGAAAUCCCCGGGCUCAACCUGGGAACUGCAUUCGAAACUGGCAGGCUAGAGUCUUGUAGAGGGGGGUAGAAUUCCAGGUGUAGCGGUGAAAUGCGUAGAGAUCUGGAGGAAUACCGGUGGCGAAGGCGGCCCCCUGGACAAAGACUGACGCUCAGGUGCGAAAGCGUGGGGAGCAAACAGGAUUAGAUACCCUGGUAGUCCACGCUGUAAACGAUGUCGAUUUGGAGGUUGUGCCCUUGAGGCGUGGCUUCCGGAGCUAACGCGUUAAAUCGACCGCCUGGGGAGUACGGCCGCAAGGUUAAAACUCAAAUGAAUUGACGGGGGCCCGCACAAGCGGUGGAGCAUGUGGUUUAAUUCGAUGCAACGCGAAGAACCUUACCUGGUCUUGACAUCCACAGAACUUUCCAGAGAUGGAUUGGUGCCUUCGGGAACUGUGAGACAGGUGCUGCAUGGCUGUCGUCAGCUCGUGUUGUGAAAUGUUGGGUUAAGUCCCGCAACGAGCGCAACCCUUAUCCUUUGUUGCCAGCGGUUAGGCCGGGAACUCAAAGGAGACUGCCAGUGAUAAACUGGAGGAAGGUGGGGAUGACGUCAAGUCAUCAUGGCCCUUACGACCAGGGCUACACACGUGCUACAAUGGCAUAUACAAAGAGAAGCGACCUCGCGAGAGCAAGCGGACCUCAUAAAGUAUGUCGUAGUCCGGAUUGGAGUCUGCAACUCGACUCCAUGAAGUCGGAAUCGCUAGUAAUCGUAGAUCAGAAUGCUACGGUGAAUACGUUCCCGGGCCUUGUACACACCGCCCGUCACACCAUGGGAGUGGGUUGCAAAAGAAGUAGGUAGCUUAACCUUCGGGAGGGCGCUUACCACUUUGUGAUUCAU
rnacentral:rRNA from 1 species